rnacentral:rRNA from 1 species
GCUCCCUGAUGUUAGCGGCGGACGGGUGAGUAACACGUGGGUAACCUGCCUGUAAGACUGGGAUAACUCCGGGAAACCGGGGCUAAUACCGGAUGCUUGUUUGAACCGCAUGGUUCAAACAUAAAAGGUGGCUUCGGCUACCACUUACAGAUGGACCCGCGGCGCAUUAGCUAGUUGGUGAGGUAAUGGCUCACCAAGGCAACGAUGCGUAGCCGACCUGAGAGGGUGAUCGGCCACACUGGGACUGAGACACGGCCCAGACUCCUACGGGAGGCAGCAGUAGGGAAUCUUCCGCAAUGGACGAAAGUCUGACGGAGCAACGCCGCGUGAGUGAUGAAGGUUUUCGGAUCGUAAAGCUCUGUUGUUAGGGAAGAACAAGUACCGUUCGAAUAGGGCGGUACCUUGACGGUACCUAACCAGAAAGCCACGGCUAACUACGUGCCAGCAGCCGCGGUAAUACGUAGGUGGCAAGCGUUGUCCGGAAUUAUUGGGCGUAAAGGGCUCGCAGGCGGUUUCUUAAGUCUGAUGUGAAAGCCCCCGGCUCAACCGGGGAGGGUCAUUGGAAACUGGGGAACUUGAGUGCAGAAGAGGAGAGUGGAAUUCCACGUGUAGCGGUGAAAUGCGUAGAGAUGUGGAGGAACACCAGUGGCGAAGGCGACUCUCUGGUCUGUAACUGACGCUGAGGAGCGAAAGCGUGGGGAGCGAACAGGAUUAGAUACCCUGGUAGUCCACGCCGUAAACGAUGAGUGCUAAGUGUUAGGGGGGUUUCCGCCCCUUAGUGCUGCAGCUAACGCAUUAAGCACUCCGCCUGGGGAGUACGGUCGCAAGACUGAAACUCAAAGGAAUUGACGGGGGCCCGCACAAGCGGUGGAGCAUGUGGGUUUAAUUCGAAGCAACGCGAAG